rnacentral:lncRNA from 1 species
AGCCCAAGUCACCACCUUCAGGUUCUAUUAUACAUGUGACAUCGUCUGGCUCCGGACAGAGCAGUGUCUGGAACACACCUUCGCUAGGAGGUAUGGAACAAACAAAAGAAGACAAUUACCAAGUGGGAUGAGUGAAUAAAAGAUACAGGAAGUCUACAGAAAGACACAGGAAGAGGAGGCCACACCUAAAUGCUGGCAAGGGAGCAGGCAACAGGGUCAGACUCCAAGCCUCAGACCCCUCCUGGAUACGAACCAUCCCCUGCCUCAUCAGAGCCUGGGAAGAUUUCCUACUCGUGAGGCUAACGAAUCGCUCAGAACACAACCAUCUCAUUAAGCAAUUAGCUCUGGGAGCGCCAAGGCAAGGAAGUGACCUCACUGGCCGCUCGACAAGACACCGCCCUGCCGCUGGGGAGGAAGAUUGCCGGAAAGCAGGAGGAGCACUGCGUGGAGUUAAGUGGUGCAAUCUCUCUGGGCUUCUGAAAAUAGCAGAUGACCAGGACCAGGCCGGGUGAUUUCUAAAUUACUUCCAGCGCAAAAAAAAAAAAUUCUUAGUGGUCAGACUGCUACCAACUCCACAGGUCACUCCCCUCACACCUGCCCCUGGAGGGCGCAGUCCCUUUAAAAACCAAGGCCUUGCCUUACGCUUGGGCCAAUCACCGUGAACAGAAGUUCUUUAAGGACCAAAGGAGGGAAUUCAGCCGGAGGAGGGCGGGGCAGGGGCGUGCCUUCCAGCCAAUCGGAAUCUUCUUGGCGACUAGGGACUCACGUGCAAAGCUCUGC